rnacentral:rRNA from 1 species
AUGUUUUGUUCUGUUCCCCCUGGUGCUGAUGCUAUCACGGGGGAUCUGGCGCGAUCUCCCUCGGGAUCGACGUGCCCGACGGCGACAGACCUGCCCGAAUCACCCACGGGAUCAUCCCCGUGCCAGGAGGAUCGCGCUGCAUCGGCCGCCCAACCCGCCUCUCCCACGCGGCCCCGCACUGCAGUGGCUGACCCCGCGGGCUCGGUGCACCAAUCUCCGGUCGCGGACCGGUCGCUCGUGCGCUACGCGCCCACCCCGCGGGUCUACACUCGGCGGGCCCCGCCAUCCACUUCCGACGUGCCAGGCGGGCCUGACGCGCGUGUCGAGGCGGCCUCGGAUGGCUCCUUUGGAUCCUCUGCGCCGGGUUCCCCUCUUUUGCCAUCUGCGUCAGCCACAGAAGAUCUGCAUGCGCCAGCCUCCUCCGGAUCCGCUGGAUCUACUGGCCCCUGCGCAGCCGCUCCUGUUGGAUCUUCCGUGGCUGCAUCUGUGCCUCCUACACCGCAUCGCACUCGCGUUCAAACAGGGACACUUGUUGCUGUCAAUUAUAAAACUAAGUAUGGCUUGGUUGUUUCAGAAACUACUCCAGGAGAACCACGUACUGUCUCUCAAGCCCUUGCAGAUCCUCGGUGGAAACAAGCUAUGCUUGAAGAAAUUGGAGCUCUUCACAAAAAUCGCACCUGGCACCUCGUUCCCUCACGACCCGGUACAAAUGUGAUUGACUGUAAGUGGGUGUUUCGCAUCAAGCGACGGUCUGAUGGUACUAUUGACCGCUACAAGGCCAGACUUGUUGCCAAAGGAUUCAAGCAGAGGUAUGGACUUGACUAUGAGGACACCUUUAGUCCCGUUGUUAAAGCUGCAACUAUUCGCCUUGUGUUGUCCAUUGUUGUGUCUCAUGGAUGGUGUCUCCGUCAGCUAGAUGUGCAGAAUGCGUUUCUGCAUGGCGUUCUGGAAGAGGAAGUAUAUAUGAAGCAGCCUCCUGGGUUUACAGAUCCUCAUCAACCAUUCCAUGUUUGCAGGCUCGAUAAGUCUCUCUAUGGACUCAAACAGGCUCCACGAGCAUGGUACUCCCGUUUGAGUUCAAAACUACAAACUCUUGGCUUUGUUCCCUCCAAGUCUGAUACUUCCCUGUUCAUUUAUCGUCGGUUACACACAAUUAUCUUUGUGCUCAUUUAUGUUGACGACAUUAUUGUUACUAGUUCAUCUGAUGAGGCAGUCACAGCCCUUUUGAAGGAUUUGAAGUCAGACUUUGCUCUAAAAGAUCUUGGUGACUUGCACUUCUUUCUUGGUAUUGAGGUAGCAAGAAACAGGGAAGGUGGCCUUCAUCUUUGUCAAGCAAAAUAUGCAGCUGAUCUUUUGAGCAAGGCACGCUUACAAGGCUGCAAACCAUCAACAACACCACUCUCCAGCUCAGAAAAAUUAUCUCUUGCAGAGGGCGUACCUCUGAGUCAAGAGGAUGGCACCAAAUACCGGAGUUUGGUGGGAGCACUUCAGUACUUGACACUCACCAGACCUGAUAUUUCCUUUGCAGGCAAUAAAGUGUGUCAGUUCCUUCAUGCACCCACUUCUUCUCAUUGGACUGCUGCUAAACACAUACUGCGAUAUGUGAAGCACACACUGAAUGUUGGGUUAACCUUCACCAAGUCAACCUCUACACUUGUUAGUGCCUUUUCUGAUUCUGAUUGGGCAGGUUGCUUGGAUGACAGGAGGUCCACAGGUGGUUUCGCAAAUUUAUUUGGACCCAAUCUAAUCUCUUGGUGUGUAAAGAAACAUGCAACAGUGUCUAGAUCAAGUACUGAGGCAGAAUACAAGGCACUAGCUAAUGCAACAACAGAAAUCAUAUGGGUUAAAUCUUUGCUUAAAGAACUUGGGAUAUAUCAUACACAAACUCCAUGUCUCUGGUGUGACAACAUUGGUGCCACAUAUCUCUCUGCUAACCCUGUUUUCCAUGCAAGGACUAAACACAUUGAGAUAGAUUAUCAAUUCGUCAGAGAGAGAGAGUUGCUAGCAAAGAACUGA